rnacentral:rRNA from 1 species
UGGAUCCUACGGGAGGCAGCAGUCGAGAAUCAUUCACAAUGGGGGAAACCCUGAUGGUGCGACGCCGCGUGGGGGAAUGAAGGUCUUCGGAUUGUAAACCCCUGUCAUGUGGGCGCAAAUUAAAAAGAUAGUACCACAAGAGGAAGAGACGGCCAACUCUGUGCCAGCAGCCGCGGUAAUACAGAGGUCUCAAGCGUUGUUCGGAAUCACUGGGCGUAAAGCGUGCGUAGGCUGUUUCGUAAGUCGUGUGUGAAGGGCGCGGGCUCAACCCGCGGACGGCACAUGAUACUGCGAGACUAGAGUAU